UCUCUGGUCUCCCUGCCUCCUGGAAGCUCACAGGCUUUUUAAGGCAGAAAAUAACCAGCAAGACCAGGAAAGACAAAAGCAGCCUGUGUCUAGGGUGGGGGCCAUGGAGCGGCAGUCAUGGGACGCACCUUGAUGGCCCCAGAAACCUGAAGGAGAGGAACGCACAGCACAAUUGCCAUGAUGUGAGCAGCCUCUGCUGCACAUGCCCACCGCCAUGAGCUGAGCUGCAGCUCCACAACUUCCUCAUCACCAUGGACUGAAGAGCUCUGAAACCGUGAUCGAAACAAAUGUCUCCUGCCUUGAAUCGUUUCUGCCAGGUAUUUCUGUCACAGCACUCUGAGAGUAAUAAAGGCAAUCUUGCAAUCAA